rnacentral:RNase_P_RNA from 1 species
GGAGUCGGGCAGACCGCCGCCGCGGAAUUAUUCCGGGGAGGAAAGUCCGGGCUCCACAGGGCAGGACGCCGGGUAACACCCGGGAGGGGCGACCCUCGGACAGCGCCACAGAAAGCAGACCGCCGGCGGCGCUUGCGCCGCAGGCAAGGGUGAAACGGUGGGGCAAGAGCCCACCAGGCGCCUGGGCAACCAGGCGUGCUCGGCAUACCCCGUCCGGAGCAAGACCAAAUAGGAAAGGCGGCCGGCCCGGCCAUGCGCCUUUCGGGUAGGUUGCUUGAGGGCGCGGGCAACUGCGCUCCUAGAGGAAUGGCGGUCCCAACGACAGAACCCGGCUUACCGCCCGGCUCCCUCG